rnacentral:rRNA from 1 species
GACGUAAUCCCCACCUUCCUCCAAUUUUUCAUUGGCAGUCUCGUUAAAGUCCCCAUCAUUACAUGCUGGCAAUUAACGACAAGGGUUGCGCUCGUUUUAGGACUUAACCUAACAUCUCACGACACGAGCUGACGACAACCAUGCACCACCUGUUUUCCUGAUAACCUCCAUUAUAUUUCUAUAACUUCGCAAGAAAAUGUCAAGACCUGGUAAGGUUUUUCGUGUAUCUUCGAAUUAAACAACAUGAUCCACCGCUUGUGCGGAGUCCCGUCAAUUCCUUUAAGUUUCAUACUUGCGUACGUACUACUCAGGCGGAGUACUUAAUGUGUUAACUUCAGUACCG